AAAAAAAUAUAUUGAAGUAUGUUUAGGAGAAAAAAAAAGAAGAGUACAUAUUUUGACAUAAAUUGGAGUCUCACAUUAUCGUAUUUUUAAAUGCAAUUAUUAUACAUAUAAUUAAGUAGCCGAAUAUUAACUACAUAUGCAUGUAUAUAAAACGGCCCAAAGUCUAUUGUGUAGGAUGAAUAUAUUAUUAAAUUUUCCAUUAAUGUGUAGUCAAAUCUUUAUCAAUUAUUUGAAAAGUUUAACCUAACUUCAUAUUUAUUUAUGUUAUGCCUUUCACUUGUUGCCGACUGAGAUAUAUUCCAUUUGUAUUGGUCCGUCGUUUACAAUUGACACACACACACACAAAGAAAAUAUUCGAUGAUUCUAACACGGUAUUCGAAGUCAUAAGUGUCUUCAAGCAAGUUCAGUAGAAUUUAG
rnacentral:lncRNA from 1 species